GACGAACGCUGGCGGCGUGCUUAACACAUGCAAGUCGAACGAAGAGCGAUGGAAGCUUGCUUCUAUCAAUCUUAGUGGCGAACGGGUGAGUAACGCGUAAUCAACCUGCCCUUCAGAGGGGGACAACAGUUGGAAACGACUGCUAAUACCGCAUACGAUCUAAUCUCGGCAUCGAGGAGAGAUGAAAGGUGGCCUCUACAUGUAAGCUAUCACUGAAGGCGGGGAUUGCGUCUGAUUAGCUAGUUGGGGGGGUAACGGCCCAACAAGGCGAUGAUCAGUAGGCGGUCUGAGAGGAUGGACGGCCACAAUGGGACUGAGACACGGCCCAGACUCCUACGGGAGGGAGCAGGGGGGAAUCUUCCGCAAUGGACGAAAGUCUGACGGAGCAACGCCGCGUGAGUGAUGACGGCCCUCGGGUUGGAAAGCUCUGUUAAUCGGGACGAAAGGCCUUCUUGCGAAUAGUGAGAAGGAUUGACGGUACCGGAAUAGAAAGCCACGGCUAACUACGUG
rnacentral:rRNA from 1 species